rnacentral:rRNA from 1 species
AAUGAACGCUGGCGGCGUGCUUAACACAUGCAAGUCGCACGAGAACUCUUCUGCUUGCAGAAGAUAGUAAAGUGGCGAACGGGUGAGUAACGCGUGGGUAAUCUACCUCCGAAUCGGGGAUAACCCGCCGAAAGGCGAGCUAAUACCGGAUAAUAUCUAUGAUGCUUCGGCUGAUUAGAUCAAAAGUGGCCUCUACAUGUAAGCUACUGUUUAGAGAUGAGCCCGCGUGCCAUUAGCUAGUUGGUAGGGUAAUGGCCUACCAAGGCGACGAUGGCUAGCUGGUCUGAGAGGAUGAUCAGCCACACUGGAACUGACACACGGUCCAGACUCCUACGGGAGGCAGCAGUGAGGAAUUUUGCGCAAUGGGGGAAACCCUGACGCAGCAACGCCGCGUGAGUGAUGAAGGCUUUCGGGUCGUAAAGCUCUGUCAAGUGGGAAGAAAACACUCGAUAUUAAUACCAUCGUGAACUGACGGUACCACUAGAGGAAGCACCGGCUAACUCCGUGCCAGCAGCCGCGGUAAUACGGGGGGUGCAAGCGUUAUUCGGAAUCAUUGGGCGUAAAGGGCGCGUAGGCGGCCUCUUAAGUCAGAUGUGAAAGCCCGGGGCUCAACCCCGGAAGUGCAUUUGAAACUAAGGGACUUGAGUAUGGG